rnacentral:rRNA from 1 species
AUACGGAGGGUGCAAGCGUUACUCGGAAUCACUGGGCGUAAAGCGCGCGCAGGCGGCUAUUUAAGUUGGAUGUGAAAGCCUACGGCUCAACCGUAGAACUGCAUCCAAAACUAUCUAGCUAGAGUGUGAGAGAGGAAGAUGGAAUUAGUUGUGUAGGGGUAAAAUCCGUAGAGAUAACUAGGAAUACCAAAAGCGAAGGCAAUCUUCUGGAACACUACUGACGCUGAGGCGCGAAAGCGUGGGGAGCAAACGGGAUUAGAUACCCUAGUAGUCC